CCUACGGGGGGCAGCAGUGGGGAAUAUUGGGCAAUGGGCGCAAGCCUGACCCAGCAACGCCGCGUGAAGGAAGAAGGCUUUCGGGUUGUAAACUUCUUUUAUGAGGGACGAAAGAAAUGACGGUACCUCAUGAAUAAGCCACGGCUAACUACGUGCCAGCAGCCGCGGUAAUACGUAGGUGGCAAGCGUUAUCCGGAUUUACUGGGUGUAAAGGGCGUGUAGGCGGGACUGCAAGUCAGAUGUGAAAUCCGGGGGCUCAACCCCCGAACUGCAUUUGAAACUGUUGGUCUUGAGUGUCGGAGAGGCAGGCGGAAUUCCUAGUGUAGCGGUGAAAUGCGUAGAUAUUAGGAGGAACACCAGUGGCGAAGGCGGCCUGCUGGACGACAACUGACGGUGAGGCGCGAAAGCGUGGGGAGCAAACAGGAUUAGAUACCCUUGUAGUC
rnacentral:rRNA from 1 species